UACAGGGGGUGCAAACGUUGCUCGGAAUCAUUGGGCGUAAAGCGCACGUAGGCGGUUCGUUAUGUCGGAUGUGAAAGCCCUUGGCUUAACCGAGGAAGUGCAUCCGAAACUGGCGAGCUAGAGUACUAAAGAGGAUCGCGGAAUUCCCGGUGUAGAGGUGAAAUUCGUAGAUAUUCGGAGGAACACCAGUGGCGAAGGCGGCUCACUGGUCCAUUACUGACGCUGAGGUGCGAAAGCGUGGGGAGCAAACAGG
rnacentral:rRNA from 1 species